rnacentral:misc_RNA from 1 species
CAAUGUCUUGCCUGUACUGCAGAGGUUGGUAGUGCCUUCACUUUCUUCUCCAAAAUCCAAAUAUGAGAUUAAGUUGGUCUUUCAAAUUUUUGUUUGUGGGAAUUAGGAUUCUAGUUUCAAUAUGCUACUAUCUGGUCAGGCAUCACAUCUCAACAAUGAUAUUAUUUAGGAUAAUAACAUGCAUUGGCAUUUGUGAUACAUGAGAAUGUACAUAUACGUGUUAGCUAAUACUUCUACGGUUAAAUCAUCUGCCUAAGCCCAAUAAUUCCACAGGUGAAUUUUAGCAUUGUUAUUUUAAUUUAAUUUAAUUUAAUUUUCCUUUACAAUUGUGCGGCCCCUGAUUGCAGAUUCCGCCGCCCCCCCAUUCCAAAUACAUCUCAAAAACCUGCAACCAUACAUCGAAGACGAAGGAUUUGGGAUUUCUCUCUGAAUCGUUGAGAAAUGGCUGGCACGUGCACCACUGGCGGCGGCGUCAGUGCUGGUGGAGGAGCCCGAGAGAUCAUGCUGUUUGGUGUCAGAGUGGUGGUUGAUUCCUUGAGGAAGAGCGUCAGUUUGAACAACUUAUCGCAGUAUGAGCAGCCUCAAGAGUUGAAUAAAUCUAACACUAAUAAGGAUGGAACCAAUAAUACUAGCAAGGAGGAUGUGGCCACUGCUGCUGCUGCUGGUUAUGCAUCUGCAGACGACGCCGUUCCUCACUCCUCUAAUAGUCGCGGCGAGCGCAAGCGAGGUGCGAUUCCGAUCUCCAAUCACUCAAGCCAAAAUGAAAAGACUAAAUUUUAUUCUCAGAUUUGCUUUCUACAACUCAUUGACUUGUUUAAUAUGUGUUUUUGUUUAUAUUAUUAUUCAAAUCUAUAAAUCGCUGUUUUCCAUGCACUGAUCAUUAUUUAUUUUUUAAUUCUGAAAUUUUCAGUAUGGAAGUCUUUCAAUUAGAUGUAGCUAAUGAGUAAAAAAAUUUUGGCUAAUGAUGAUAUGGAUGACGAGCAGGAGUUCCGUGGACAGAGGACGAGCACAAGCUGUUCCUUUUAGGAUUGCAGAAGGUAGGGAAAGGAGAUUGGAGGGGAAUCUCUCGCAAUUUUGUCAAGACUCGAACUCCAACGCAGGUCGCAAGCCACGCCCAAAAGUAUUUUCUUCGCCGGAGCAAUCUCAAUCGCCGCCGACGCCGUUCUAGCCUUUUUGAUAUUACCACUGAAACGGUUCGAUCUCUUAUACUUACAUAUUUUCAUUUUUCUUGAAAUCUGAUCUCCUGUUUGUUUGUAUGCUGAGAAAAGUAGAGGAAAUAAGAAAAGAAACGACUUUUAUUAGCCUUUAUUAUUGAUUUAUUUAAUGCGAGGAAAUUGAUUCAAAUCUAGGUGAAUAGUUUAGUAUGGAUCGGCUGAUCUGAGGCUGUAUUCUUAUUCUGUUGUAGACAAUUGCAACUUUAAAAAAGGUCUAAGCUGGAAUAUUAAUAUCAUUUAUGUUUUUAUGCGAUAAAGAUCGAGAUUUUUAAUUUCUUAGGAUCCUCUUCUUGGUUGUUAAGAUAAACAGGAAAGCGAAAAUCACACAGAGUUUUGAUUUCUUGGAAGUGAAACUUUUUUUUUUUCCUCUGAGAAUGCCAAAAAUUAUAGCAAGGUAAGUUGUAUGAUUAUGAUAUUGUCUCCUUUUCUAUAUUUUAAACUAUGAAUGCUGGAUUUAACAUCUACUAAUAUUUUGUUGGUUUUCCAUUAUUUAUCUCCUAAAAAGUUUUUGAGCAUUUAGCGUUGACCUUGUAUUCUUAAUCAGGUCUCAGCACUUCCAAUGGAGGAAGCGCUAGCUCAUUGCCAAGACAACAAGAACAACAUGCCUCAGUCGCAUCAAUUGCCACCUCCAUUACCUGAAAACAACAAUAUCGGCAACUGCCCUGUGAUGCCGGCUUUCCCUAUGACCACCAAUCCUGUUGUAUUGCCUGUCCCAAUUGAGAGUCCAGCUGAAAACUUGUCACUGGGACAAGGCAAUCCUGCCGCAAACCCCUCAGCAAAUCUCGUCCGACCAAUUCCUGUCCUCCCAACCCCUCAUGCUUCUGGAGUAUCUGACCUUUACUUAAAUUUGAAGUCAUCUGUUGACUCAUCGCCAUUGUCACUUAAACUCUCUUUGCCGUCCUAUCAGAGAGAAUCUGUGGACCCAUCAUCAAGGCAUUCGGUUCUUCAGGUGAUGUCGAGCUUCAACAAUGGAGAUGGCAUCAUCAGUGUUGCUUGAAGAAGGAUAAGAAGUUUGAAAGGAGGAGGUGCAUAAUUAGAUGGGUAUGGGUUAGAGAUGAUAAAAAGUAAAUUAGAUGACCGGAAAAUUAAAUCCUUUCUUUGAUGUACAGACCAGAAAAGGAAUUGUCAUCGCAUUUGUUGUUGGUUUAUGGUUAGGUUCUUGUUCUUUUGUUUGUAGUUUGAUAUGACUGGAAGAAAUAAGCCGUAGUAGUGUGUUCAUUACUGCUGGAUUUUGUUCUUUUAACUUGGAAUGAUUUUCAUUACUUGGAAAAAUAUCAGCUGGGUUUUGUGGCAGAGGCAUUUUUCAUUAAUGAAUGGAUAAAAAUUCUCAGGGAUUGAUUAAUUGUGGGCGUCAUGAAUAUGAAUUUUUUAUUCAUUAAUGGCUAUGGAUGGACCACUCGUUAUGAGAUGGUGAUUUUAUAUUGAAGGAAGAAAGCAUUUGAGUGGUUGGUAGCAUCUUAUUAGACUGAUUAGAUGUUGAAUUAGUAAAAUUAGGAUUGCUGUUAUUAUUGCUCGAGGAUGUUAAUUUUGUAAGUCAGUUUGCCCCUGUGGUUAUGUUUCUAUGUUGGGAAAGCAUUUCAUGACUCCAGAGAAGAAAAGGAAAUUUCCAAAUCUCAUCUCAGCAUUGAGAUGGAAAAACAGUUUGAGCUGAUGAUAUAUAAAAUACCCACGGUCACAACCAGGCCAAAUUUCCUCUGUAGACUCUAAUGAUGUAGUCAUGAGUAAAUGUCAUGACGAUCGGCUGACGGUUACACGUUUGGUGCCAUUCAUUUUCAGUCUUAUGAUAAAUUAUGAGCUGAUG